GGCGAAGUGAGGGGCGGGAGCCGCGGGAAUACGUAGGGGGCGGGGUGUAAUCGGAAUUACUGGGCGUAAAGCGUGCGCAGGCGGUGAUGUAAGACAGUGGUGAAAUCCCCGGGCUGAACCUGGGAACUGCAUCUGUGACUGCAUUGCUGGAGUGCGGCAGAGGGGGAUGGAAUUCCGCGUGUAGCAGUGAAAUGCGUAGAUAUGCGGAGGAACACCGAUGGCGAAGGCAAUCCCCUGGACCUGCACUGACGCUCAUGCACGAAAGCGUGGGGAGCAAACAGGAUUAGAUACCCUUGAGUC
rnacentral:rRNA from 1 species